rnacentral:rRNA from 1 species
UGCCAGCAGCCGCGGUAAUACGUGGGGGGCAAGCGUUGUCCGGAUUUAUUGGGCGUAAAGCGUGUGUAGGCGGUUUGUUAAGUCCAAGGUUAAAGACUGAAGCUCAACUUCAGUUCGCCUUAGAAACUGGCAAACUUGAGUAUGGUAGAGGCAAGUGGAAUUUCUAGUGUAGCGGUAAAAUGCGUAGAUAUUAGAAGGAACACCAGUGGCGAAGGCGGCUUGCUGGACCAUUACUGACGCUGAGACACGAAAGCGUGGGGAGCAAAUAGGAUUAGAUACCCUAGUAGUCCACGCCGUAAACUAUGAGUACUAAGUGUCGGAAUUAUCCGGUGCUGAAGUUAACACAUUAAGUACUCCGCCUGGGUAGUACAGUCGCAAGGCUGAAACUUAAAGGAAUUGGCGGGGGA